GACGCGGUGGCCUAAUGGUUGUAGCGCGUUGGACUCCGGAUUGAGUGGUCCAGGUUCGAGCGCUGGCCGGGGUCA